rnacentral:lncRNA from 12 species
UACUAUCAUUGUCACUAUCAAUAUUAAAACAUUGCACUAAACUGUUUCAUAAUUGUGUUUUUAUGUUUCCCCUGACAUCUCUCAGUUCAACCACUGGGGAAGCCCCUGUCUUCCUGUCUGCCUUGUUUUGGUUUUGUUUCAUGUACCUUUCCUGGCAACAGGGUCCAUUUAGUUGACUGGUUACCAUAGAAGCCUGCUUGCUCUGAAGGGUAGUAAGUGUUUUAGGGAAAUCAGCACACUACAGGAAAGGAAAGACUGAAAAACUCUUGCCCAGAUUAUGAGUCAACAGAGCUUUUUUAAGAAAACACUCUGCCUCUUAUGAAAUCCAUCUUCCCAAGCUUUAUUCAAGAGUUUGAAGGCAUUCUGUGAAUAUCUUGGAAAUGACAUCUCUGAAAAGCAGCCUGUUAGCUCAUUGUGCCUCCACCAACAGAGCUGCAAGAGACCCUCCUGUGGAAUAACACUUCUAUUUCUACGGAGAAGAAUCACCAGAAUGGAGCUGCUGAGUCAAAUCCGUGUGCAUAUGACAGACAGCUCCCUGGGACCUGUAUCUGAUCACAGCCCACAGUUCAGCAGGAGGGAUCUUCCAAGCCAAGAUCCAAAGGUAAACUGUGCAUAUUCUCAUGAACACCACUCUGGAAAAAAACUUAUAUUUAAUCACUUUCAAGUGCUGCAUCUCUUUCUCUCUGAUAACUUCCAGUUUAAUUUUUUCUUUAGUGAUCAAAAAAGAGCAAAGAAAAACUUAUCAUCAGUUUUUCCUAGUACUUUGCCAUUGGAACUACAUUUCUAAACUUUUCCCACCCUGACUGUUUCCUGAAAGCCAAUAAAUCCUUAGAAAUAUAAAGCA